rnacentral:rRNA from 1 species
CCUACGGGAGGCAGCAGUGGGGAAUAUUGCACAAUGGGCGCAAGCCUGAUGCAGCCAUGCCGCGUGUGUGAAGAAGGCCUUCGGGUUGUAAAGCACUUUCAGCGGGGAGGAAGGCGGUGAGGUUAAUAACCUCAUCGAUUGACGUUACCCGCAGAAGAAGCACCGGCUAACUCCGUGCCAGCAGCCGCGGUAAUACGGAGGGUGCAAGCGUUAAUCGGAAUUACUGGGCGUAAAGCGCACGCAGGCGGUCUGUCAAGUCGGAUGUGAAAUCCCCGGGCUCAACCUGGGAACUGCAUUCGAAACUGGCAGGCUAGAGUCUUGUAGAGGGGGGUAGAAUUCCAGGUGUAGCGGUGAAAUGCGUAGAGAUCUGGAGGAAUACCGGUGGCGAAGGCGGCCCCCUGGUCAAAGACUGACGCUCAGGUGCGAAAGCGUGGGGAGCAAACAGGAUUAGAUACCCGGGUAGUC